UGCCAGCAGCCGCGGUAAUACGGAGGGGGCAAGCGUUGUCCGGAAUCAUUGGGCGUAAAGGGCGAGUAGGCGGGAUAGUAUGUCUGAGGUGAAAGUUCGAGGCUUAACUUCGAAAUUGCCUUUGAAACUGCUAUUCUUGAGUGUGAGAAGGGAAAGCGGAAUUCCCGGUGUAGCGGUGAAAUGCGUAGAUAUCGGGAAGAACACCAGUAGCGAAGGCGGCUUUCUGGCUCACAACUGACGCUGAACUGCGAAAGCGUGGGGAGCGAACGGGAUUAGAUA
rnacentral:rRNA from 1 species